UGGGGCCCCUGCAAACCUGGGUGGUGGACCCCGAAUUUCUGCAUCCGUUCGACGUGUCAGUUGAUGGACGGUUUGAACUUCGUCACCGGAUAGAAAACUAACGGAAGUUAAUCUGUUAUUUUUGUGGUCAAAUAGGAGGCGAGAUGCAGUCGAUUCUGUGAAGCAAGAUGCACAGAAGAUCCUUGGAGAUGGAAAUAAUCUACUAAAUGAGGAUAACGAGCUCUCUGACAACAUCAACAAGGAGCUGGAGGACGUGGAGGAGAUGAAGAGAGAGCUCGGUCGUCUUCAUGCUCUGCUGAAUGACAAGGUUCAGGGCCUUACCGACGGCUUGAGUGAUGGCAUGCUAGCUGAACAUGUCCACGAAGCAGAGGAACAUGCCAAACAGCUAAAUGAAUCAGCAGCCAUUUUAGAUGGAAGUUAAUCUGGAUGUAAGCCAUCACACUUUGCCACAGCUCAGUGUUGUCUCCACUUUAUAAGAUUGUGGCCAUCUUUUUCAAAACUGAGGACCUGAUCAUCAAUACAUUAACUUCACAAGAUGUUGGUAAAAUUGUGCUGCAUCUUCCUCAGCACAGGCAUCUACCAGGAACCUUUAGAGAGCUUGAUGUUUCCCUCUGCUGAGAAGCUUUAUGGAGAUGCUGAUGUUAUUUUCCAGCAGAACUUGGCACCUACUCACACUGCCAAAGGGACAGGACGGUAGACGGGUGCAAGCGGUGCUGCGCCAUGAAUAUAAAUGGACCUGGAGUCUCUGUUGUGCCCGUGAGAGCAGCCGUAAACUUAGGGAAGAGCAACACAGCCUGCUACAAUUUGUCUGCCACAUAUUUAAGGUCUUAUCACACAGCUUGCAAAGUGGAAAAGUGCUCUCAGUACCACUGUAACAGCAAUAAUAUGACAGAUCAGUGCUGGAGCAUACCUCUGGAUCUCUACAGUUUGGACACAGAUAGAUCAUGUGAUGAUGCACCUGAUUUGGAGUGGGAUUUACAACUCCUCUAUUAUGACCUUGGGAGGAUCGCCCUGAUAUCCUGCAGCCAUCCCUCACCUGCAGUAACAGGUUUACUGUCCUGGAUGCUGGCUGCUGGCUGUCAAUCAGCUUAAGAAGCAGAUAUCUGUGCAGGCUCAUGUGCUCGUUUGUUUAUGCUUGAAUUAUUCUUUUUGGCUACUUUGUCAGAUAUUCUUUUUCCACACAUGCCCUGUCGGUCCUAUCCAAUUCUUCUUAGUUUCCAGACAGGGAAGAUGGUGUGAGGUAUGAAGACACCAGGCAUAUUACUGGUGCAGCCUCAUGAAUUACAAUACCAUUAAAAAGAUAAUUCAUUCCAGUAAUUAAAGUGGUGGAUAGCUGGUUGCAGGGCCGUUGGCAGUGAUGAACUACAGAGUCAACAAGUCAACCAAGCAUACAGUUUCUAAAAAGACAUUACAAAGAUGAACCAUUGGAAAGUUUUCUCUUUCAGAUGAUAAAUAUAGAAAUGUAUCGAUGAAUUGGUUGGUGACAGAUGAUUUUCAAUUUGACUGGCUCUGACAUGUAAUCGUUGGCUCAUGUUUUCCUGAUCAGUGAACUCGCUCCAAGAAACCCCAGGUCCCACUAACCCAAACCAUCUUCACUGUGAAGUCCUUACAAAUUGAAAACAACUCAAAGCUGACUACUUUAGAGGUGUUUUAAAAUCAAGUCAGAGAAAUUAAAUGAGCUGUAAUGAGAUAUUUAAAAUGAAACUGAUUUGUCUGAGCAUAUUGCAUGUUUGUUCUGGCUGUCUUCACAGAAAGUGAAGCUUAGGUGGGUGUUUGUCAUUUCACUCCUUCAACAAGUUGUA